UACGUAGGGUGCGAGCGUUAUUCGGAAUUACUGGGCGUAAAGCGUGCGCAGGCGGUUCGUUAAGUCAGAUGUGAAAGCCCCGGGCUCAACCUGGGAACUGCAUUUGAAACUGGCGGGCUUGAGUGUGGCAGAGGGGGGUGGAAUUCCGCGUGUAGCAGUGAAAUGCGUAGAGAUGCGGAGGAACACCGAUGGCGAAGGCAGCCCCCUGGGCCAACACUGACGCUCAGGCACGAAAGCGUGGGGAGCAAACAGG
rnacentral:rRNA from 1 species